rnacentral:lncRNA from 1 species
UUGCCCAGACUGGAAUGCAAUGGUGCAAUUUUGGAUCACUGCAACCUCUGCCUCCCAGGUUCAAGCGAUUCUCCUGCCUCAGCCUCCCGAGUAGCUAGGACUACAGGCACCUGCCAUAACGCCCAGCCAAUUACUCUCUCGGUGCUGGACAAAGAUCAGACCAGGUUUGAGGAACGCUGGAAAUGAAAUUUAUGGAUAUCUAUUACUUCUACUCAUAAGCUUUAUCAAGCAAAAACAGGUAAGAGUACAGACAGGCAUAGGGCAUAUCUGAGGUAGGUUAG